rnacentral:rRNA from 1 species
CCUACGGGUGGCUGCAGUGGGGAAUAUUGCACAAUGGGGGAAACCCUGAUGCAGCGACGCCGCGUGAGUGAAGAAGCGUUUCGGCGCGUAAAGCUCUGUCAGCGGGGAAGAAACACGGUUCGCGAGAGCCGCGGACGGUACCCGACCAAGAAGCCCCGGCUAACUACGUGCCAGCAGCCGCGGUAAUACGUAGGGGGCAAGCGUUAUCCGGAUUCACUGGGUGUAAAGGGAGCGUAGACGGCGAGACAAGUCUGGAGUGAAAUCCCGGGGCUUAACCCCGGAACUGCUUUGGAAACUGUGCGGCUGGAGUGCAGGAGGGGUAAGCGGAAUUCCUAGUGUAGCGGUGAAAUGCGUAGAUAUUAGGAGGAAGACCGGUGGCGAAGGCGGCUUACUGGACUGUAACUGACGUUGAGGCUCGAAAGCGUGGGGAGCAAACAGGAUUAGAUACCCCAGUAGUC